rnacentral:rRNA from 1 species
AGAGUUUGAUCAUGGCUCAGAGUGAACGCUGGCGGUAGGCCUAACACAUGCAAGUCGAACGGCAGCACAGGAGAGCUUGCUCUCUGGGUGGCGAGUGGCGGACGGGUGAGGAAUACAUCGGAAUCUACCUUGUCGUGGGGGAUAACGUAGGGAAACUUACGCUAAUACCGCAUACGACCUUCGGGUGAAAGUGGGGGACCGCAAGGCCUCACGCGAUUAGAUGAGCCGAUGUCGGAUUAGCUAGUUGGCGGGGUAAAAGCCCACCAAGGCGACGAUCCGUAGCUGGUCUGAGAGGAUGAUCAGCCACACUGGAACUGAGACACGGUCCAGACUCCUACGGGAGGCAGCAGUGGGGAAUAUUGGACAAUGGGCGCAAGCCUGAUCCAGCCAUACCGCGUGGGUGAAGAAGGCCUUCGGGUUGUAAAGCCCUUUUGUUGGGAAAGAAAUCUUGCCGGUUAAUACCUGGCGAGGAUGACGGUACCCAAAGAAUAAGCACCGGCUAACUUCGUGCCAGCAGCCGCGGUAAUUC